rnacentral:rRNA from 1 species
GAGUAACGCGUAUCCAACGUGCUCACCACUUGGGGAUAACCUUGCGAAAGUAAGACUAAUACCCAAUGAUAUCUCUAGAAGACAUCUGAAAGAGAUUAAAGAUUUAUCGGUGAUGGAUGGGGAUGCGUCUGAUUAGCUUGUUGGCGGGGUAACGGCCCACCAAGGCAACGAUCAGUAGGGGUUCUGAGAGGAAGGUCCCCCACAUUGGAACUGAGACACGGUCCAAACUCCUACGGGAGGCAGCAGUGAGGAAUAUUGGUCAAUGGACGAGAGUCUGAACCAGCCAAGUAGCGUGCAGGAAGACGGCCCUAUGGGUUGUAAACUGCUUUUAUAAGGGAAUAAAGUUAGUCUCGUGAGACUUUUUGCAUGUACCUUAUGAAUAAGGACCGGCUAAUUCCGUGCCAGCAGCCGCGGUAAUACGGAAGGUCCGGGCGUUAUCCGGAUUUAUUGGGUUUAAAGGGAGCGUAGGCCGGAGAUUAAGCGUGUUGUGAAAUGUAGACGCUCAACGUCUGCAGUGCAGCGCGAACUGGUUUCCUUGAGUACGCACAAAGUGGGCGGAAUUCGUGGUGUAGCGGUGAAAUGCUUAGAUAUCACGAAGAACUCCGAUUGCGAAGGCAGCUCACUGGAGCGCAACUGACGCUGAAGCUCGAAAGUGCGGGUAUCGAACAGGAUUAGAUACCCUGGUAGUCCGCACGGUAAACGAUG